CUUCGCUUGGUGUAGUUGGGUUAGUUCCUCUCAACCUAUCCAAUCAGUCAGCUGAAGGCUAACCUUCAGUUCCAGUUCAUCACGUCUGACUGUAAAUCAGAAGGUCCCUAGUUCGAUUCUGGGAGCGAAGA
rnacentral:tRNA from 1 species